CAAUAGCGUAUAUUAAAGUUGUUGCGGUUAAAAAGCUCGUAGUUGGAUUUCUGUUGAGGUCGGCCGGUCCCUACUUCGUAGGCGUAUCUGGUUCAGCCUUGGCAUCCUCCUAGGGAACGGCACUGCUCUUAACUGAGUGGUCCGGUAUCUAGGACUUUUACUUUGAGGAAAUUAGAGUGUUUACGGCAGGCAAUCGCCUUGAAUAUGUUAGCAUGGAAUAAUAAUAUAGGACCUUGGUUCUAUUUUGUUGGUUUCUAGGACUAAGGUAAUGAUUAAUAGGGAUAUUUGGGGGCAUUCGUAUUAACCGGUCAGAGGUGGAAUUCUUGGAUUCGGUUACGACGAACUACUGUGAAAGCAUUUGCCAAGGAUGUUUNCAUUGA
rnacentral:rRNA from 1 species